GAUUAUGGCCAGUCUAAAUCACCGGAUCUCGUACGAUCGCCGGAGUUAAACAAUGUUGAGCCUUGUCAGUACUUACUAUGGUGACCUCUUGAGAAUGCCAUAUGCUGUG